rnacentral:tRNA from 1 species
GUUUUUGUAGUUGAAAUACAACAGUGGUUUUUCAGAUCACAGGUUUUGGGCAGCCAAAUAGAAACU